GAGAGAGGGGUGAGGAUGUCAGUGUCGAUCUUUGAUUCAGUGAGUGAGAGUGUGAUGGUGAAAGAGAGGGGGAUCAUCGGGAUUUCAGGGAGAGAAACACAGAGAGAGGGGUGAUGGUGAACAGGCGCGAGUACGGUCCCUUUGUCCGGGAUUCACUCUUCAUCGUCCAUACUCUAUUGCAUGCUCAGAUAAGUGUCUUUUUCAAUUACAUUUUCUAUUAAAAUCUCUAUUUUUUUUUAUUGUUUCUUGCAUUUAUAUCUGCGUGAAUAUGGUGAUUGAAAAGCCCAAAAAAAAAUUUCCAAAUCUUUUUGUACUGUUUUGUUAGGUUAGGCAACAUGGUUUUUGGUUUUUGGUUUUUUUUUUUUUUUAAUCGGUUGGGGGAUUUUCUGGGCGUCUAUUUAUUUGUUUGCCCUUUGGUUUGUUUUUCAUUCUGGAUUCCCCUCUUUCAUUAGGAGUACAAAAAUUCCAAAGGUAAACAUGCAAUCCCUUGCUUCGCUUUUCUGUCCAUAAGCAAGAAUCGGUAAAAUAAGUGUGGUUCUUGGAUCUGCGGUCUGAAACAAAAAAAGAUGUCUACUCUCUGUGCCAGCUAAUGUAUCUAUGAUUUCUUUGCAGGACGCUACUGCAACACUCAAGUCCGUUUGGAAAAUACUUAGGGAUCUCAAACCCAAGGAGAAAGAUUUGGAGCAAGUGACUCAUAAAGAUAAACUUCGAUAUCGAAAUUAAUGGAAACCCAUUGAUCGCGUUGUAAUGGGUCUCUUUGGAAAAACAAUUCUUAAGACCAAUUGUGAGGUUUGUUCUUAUAUGGUACAUGAGUGUUUUUAUAAUUCUUUUGCACAGUUGUUAGUAUUUGUAGUUGUGAUUGGUGUUGUCCUACAUGUUUGGCUUAAAGAAAUAAGACACUACUUUUGAUAAACCAUAUUGAGAGUGAAGGAAUCUCCUUUUGACCUGAUCAUGUUGGAGUACAUUUCUACUAACUGGGUACAUUAUGGAAAUUCAUGGACUCUUUUA